GCAGGGGAAACGUUCAGUCUGCCUGGGUUAUAUAUAGGUAGAUUCAUUGAUUUCGGAUCAGAAAAUUAUCAAUGUUCAUGGAUUCCCAGAACACAGCAGGGAGAAGUUUAUGUUAUGAACAUUUCUUAGCAACAAACCCUGUAAGAAGAAGGACGUCUGUUCUACAGCUUGUGGUGGAUUAUAGAACACAUGAUAUCAACCAAGUUUAAAGGAAGCAUGUAUAGCCACAUUAGAAAGAUUUAAGGAUUGUGAGAAACCAAAUAUGACAAAUCAGAAUAACUUCCAUGGGAGUGUGAAAAAAAAGAAUAGUAGAGUGUAAUCCUCAGGACUUUCUUCAGACUUCCAUAAAGUCAGGAAAUACUGUUGAACUGACAAAAUUAACAAAAAUCAUGAUUGUCAAAAAUUCAAGGAAGAUGUGCAAGUUAAGACUAAGACGGAUUUUAGGAGUUUUGAUGACAAAGAAUCAACCUUUGGAAAUAUGGCUUUAAACUUGGAUCUCUUUAUUGAUGCAUGCAUGAUGGUGGGCUGAAGAAGAAAACCAGGACAAAUGAAAAUUCCUAGUGUUCAUCAGAAAAAAUGAUCGAAUCAUGCAGCCAUUUUGAGUGCUUGAAUGCCCAACUGAGAGAGCCAGCCAAUGCGGAAAAUAUUUCUUGGAAGUUACACCAAAUCUGCUGUGACAAUUGAAUUAAAGCUUUAAAAGUACAUUUAAAAACAUACUGCCUUAAAAUUACAUUUGUAUAUGGUGUAAUUAUUUCAAGGAGAUACAACACACCUGGUUUAACAGUAAGGUCCAUAGCUAAACAUGGAUAUGGAAUUUAGCUCACCUGAUCCAAAGGCUCAAUUGCAAAGGUUCAAUUGCACAAUUCUGAUAAAAAGAAGUCUUUGGUGUCCAACAAUGCAUUAUUUAUAUGUUUGAGUGUUUACCUCCAUUAACUUUUAACAUUUUCUAAUUUUUUUUAACAUUUGGUCAAUGUAAACCACAUUUGGUACAAUGUAUCUCAGCUUAAA